UUAGCCAGUUGGAUAGUUGCUUUCAAUAUGUAGCUACAAUUUGAAAGAGGAAAGUCCGAGCACCGAAGAACAGAAUGCCUCAUAAUUAGAGGGGCUCUAUUUUAAUAGAGCACGGAAAGUGCAGCAGAAAAUAAACCGCUUUGGUAAAACAAAGUAAGGGUGAAAAGGUAGUGUAAGAGACUACCAGUCUUGANAAAAAGUUCAGGAGCUUGUAAACCCCAUUUGGUGCAAGAUUGAAUAGGCUUCGAGGUGUUGUUCGCNCCGCUUGAGAAGUGGGUAAAUUGCAUGAGCUUGGUAGUGAUGCUAGGCCUAGAUAAAUGACUAUCGCUAUGAUAUUAAAUCAUUUCACAGAACUCGGCUUAUAGACUGGCUAAUCUA
rnacentral:RNase_P_RNA from 1 species